UUUCAGUAUGUCACUCUGCCUGUUUAAAGCAUGAAUACUCUACCUUAACAACAACAACAACCCAUUCCUAUUGCAUUCAGUUAUUUGAAAUGCCUUCACUGAAAGUAACAUGUUCAUUCUGCUAUUCUCUACAUCUUUUAUUAUUGAGGCUUAGCAGACUACUAAGAAUGGAACGAUUUGACGAUUACAGCCAUAAAAUUUAAGUAACGUUGAGAGUUGGAGUUAGGGGUUUGUGAAAACUUGGUUGCACUCAAAAGCAUGGUUGGCGAUAAAAUAAGGAAAAGAAUUCCUGGAUGAUCAAGGGCUGUUUGCUCGUGUUGGUUAUUAUCCAGGGAUGAAGUUAUGCAGUCACAGCAAGUAGAGAUCAGAGGUACCAACCAUGAGAGUAAAAUAACAAGACUACUGAGAAUCACCAAGGUCAUCAGGCCAUAGAUUGCAAGCGGUUUUGCCUUUGCCCUGCUGCUUUCCCUUGGAAACCCCGCUCUUUAGCAAUAAAUCAGAACCAGUAGCAAUCUGUGGGAAACCCAGCUGACGUUUGCUCCGAUUCAGCAGUAAAGAGCAAGUUUUCCCCAGGGAAGAGGAAGUGUGGAUAAGUCCUUAUUCCAAAACAGUUCUGAGGACAGAAUUGCAUGUGUGGCUACUCUGAGAUUUGAUGGUAAUAAAAGUUCCUGAAGUGACUGUGAUUUGCCAACCUACAGUUCAUAUCAUUUUGGAGAACUUUUAAACAUUUUUUUUUUAAAAAUCAAUCAAUCAAAGGUCCUAUCAUUGAAAUAAAAAGUCUGUGACCAGAGGGGGG